AUUGAACGCUGGCGGCAGGCUUAACACAUGCAAGUCGAGCGAGCGGCGGACGGGUGAGUAAUGUCUGGGAAACUGCCUGAUGGAGGGGGAUAACUACUGGAAACGGUAGCUAAUACCGCAUACCAUCAGAUGUGCCCAGGUGGGCUUAGCUAGUAGGUGGGGUAAUGGCUCACCUAGGCGACGAUCCCUAGCUGGUCUGAGAGGAGGGCCAGGCACACUGGAACUGAGACACGGUCCAUGCUCCUGCGUGAGGCAGCAGUGGGGAAUAUUGCGCAAUGGGCGGAAGCCUGAUGCAGCCAUGCCGCGUGUGUGAAGAAGGCCUUCGGGUUGUAAAGCACUUUCAGCGGGGAGGCGUUACUCGCAGAAGAAGCACCGGCUAACUCCGUGCCAGCAGCCGCGGUAAUUC
rnacentral:rRNA from 1 species